CGGGAUCAUUUUGUUGGUUUCUAGGACCGCCGUAAUGAUUAAUAGGGACAGUCGGGGGCAUCAGUAUUCAAUUGUCAGAGGUGAAAUUCUUGGAUUUAUUGAAGACUAACUACUGCGAAAGCAUUUGCCAAGGAUGUUUUCAUUAAUCAGGAACGAAAGUUAGGGGAUCGAAGACGAUCAGAUACCGUCGUAGUCUUAACCAUAAACUAUGCCGACUAGGGAUCGGACGGUGUUAUAUUUUGACCCGUUCGGCACCUUACGAGAAAUCAAAGUGCUUGGGCUCCAGGGGGAGUAUGGUCGCAAGGCUGAAACUUAAAGAAAUUGACGGAAGGGCACCACCAGGGGUGGAGCCUGCGGCUUAAUUUGACUCAACACGGGGAAACUCACCAGGUCCAGACACAAUGAGGAUUGACAGAUUGAGAGCUCUUUCUUGAUUUUGUGGGUGGUGGUGCAUGGCCGUUCUUAGUUGGUGGAGUGAUUUGUCUGCUUAAUUGCGAUAACGAACGAGACCUUAACCUGCUAAAUAGCCCGUAUUGCUUUGGCAGUACGCUGGCUUCUUAGAGGGACUAUCGGCUCAAGCCGAUGGAAGUUUGAGGCAAUAACAGGUCUGUGAUGCCCUUAGAUGUUCUGGGCCGCACGCGCGCUACACUGACGGAGCCAGCGAGUACUUCCUUGGCCGAAAGGCCCGGGUAAUCUUGUUAAACUCCGUCGGCCGCGGGGACCCCAAAAAAACAAAAAAAAAAACGUUGACCCCCCCCGGAUAAAAAUAAAAUUAAACGCAAGAAAAAAUGGGGGGGUCCUUUCGGCUCAUGUAAGCCAAUCUUACGGGGUGACGUUGACCGCCUGGGGAGUACGGACCUAUAAUUAAUACUAAAGGAAUUGACAGGAGACGCCACAGGGGGAGGAUGAUGGGGAUUAACUAGAAGCACGGCUAAAAACUUGCUACCGUUGACAUGGUCUGACUUCUAAAAUUUGGAUUGCAUCGAAAGAGACCUGAACACGGGACUGCAUGAUGUCUCAACUGGACUGGAAUUGUUGGUCGGUCCGAAAUGAGCUACAUUACUAGGUGCGAUCGAGGAACUCUAUGCCAUUGCGUUACUCGGGAGUUACGUGAUCGAUCAAGCAUU
rnacentral:rRNA from 1 species